CAACCCCAGGUCAGGCGAGAGC
rnacentral:rRNA from 1 species